ensembl:lncRNA
GGCCUCCCAAAGUGCUAGGAUUACAGGCAUGAGCCACCAUGCCCGGCCCCAGAAUAAUGGUUUCUUGACUUUCCAUAGCCCUUGUUCCUUAGUCUUUUGUGAUAUUUAUGUUGACCUUUAUCACUUUCUAUUCUGAACCCCUCUUAACAUUUAAUGUGAAAUCUAAGAAAUCAGAGAGAAGUAGAAUGGCUUUUAUUGUUUUGACACCUUUGAAAUUAUUAUUAAUAAUUUUUCCAGAGCAAAAAAGCAAACACGCUCAAUAAGUCUAACCAAAACAAAAUAUAAAUGUACAUCAUUUAAUGUCUCAGUGGCUCUAUCUACCUGUAAGAAAAUGAUACAAACCACCUAAGGCAUUUUGAAGCCUGACAAAUCAACUUCAUGGAAAAAGGUAAAAAAUGCAUUUUUCAACCCAAAGAAAAGAUGACCGAAAGGGCAGAUCCAAUAGAAGACCCACUCCUUAAAUAAACAUAAAAUGUAAAAAGUUGGAAAAUUAGGAGUAAUGUUGCAUCUGGAAACUGAACUUUUUAUCCUUGAACUUGUGUUGGCACCAAGCCUCAUACACAGUGAGCUCAAUAACUGUCUGUUGGGACAAAGGAAGGAAGGACAAAAUGUGUAACUCCCCAGCAUCUGGGAGAUGCUGUCUCUGCCCUGCUGAGUGUUCCUUUUAUUUGCUCUCAUGUCAUUCCCUGAGAACAAUGAAUUCUGGGACAGGCUAAACAUCAUGACGAAAUUUCUUAAACAGACUUUCUGAGUGGAAAUCCAUUUAGAUCUGUGUAUGCUCUAUGGGGAGUGCUGACGUCAGAGAGUAAACGUCUAUAAGGGGCCCUUUUAAAAUGAACAUUUUCCUCAUUGGGAUUCUCUAAUCAUGUAGAAAUCAAACUAUCUUUAUAAUUUCACUUCAGAUGUUUUUGGUUUUGUGUUUUUGUCUCCAAUGAUGGUAAAAAUAAAAAACACACAUUACUUAAAGGAGUUUCCCUCACAUGUAAACACUGUUAGGAAGUCUGGAUUAAGUUGAAAGUCUUGUUUUAACUAUUUUUUUCUCUCAUAUACCAAACACUCUGUAUUUCUCUUAAAGAAGCUCUGUAAGAGAAAGCCCUAAUUUUAAAUCUGACAGUAAAGUUUGCUGCAAGUGUAUGAGUUCAAACACAUCCCUUGUUUUCUGUCCCUAGGGGAAAAGUCAUCUGGUGUUAGCUUGGCUCCUGUGUUAAUAUUAUAUUCAGUAGCAGGCUUAGAAGAGUGGUCUAAGACUUGAACCUGGAGCAGUUUUAUAGCACAGAAUCCUAUGAAGAUAGGACUGUGAGCAUUUGUUUUCUUUUUUUGUGUGUCAAACUAAUUGGCUUUUGCUUUAGCAAUAAAAUGUCCUCAACAGAAUAAAUUUUAAAUGUGAAAAUUAUAGAUCUUGGUAUUGAAUCCAUCAGUGAUUCAAGAGAUACACCUAUUUGCCUAAAACAACAUAAGAUGUAUUAGUUAUGGAAUUACGUGUUGGAUAGGUUCUUAAGACCUGUUUCCUCAAUUCUUGACACAGUUUUCAAGGGUGGCUUUUUGACUUGCAUGGUUGGGCAGAUAAUCCAGAUUUACCUAAGAUUGGGUAAAAAAGUGAUCUGUGAGUUUGCUGGCAGGGCAUUUGCUAAAUGGAGUACAGGAUCUAACAGAGUUUUCUUAGAAAGGGCAAUAUUGUCCAAUGAAGGAAGCAGAAGGACUUUGGGUUAGAAGCAUCUGCACAAAAGCUGGUGAGACCUACUCUCCACUGCUCUGCAGCUGGUCAGCCGAUGGCAGGCUGAGCAGUGGGGAAGCAGGUUUUAACAAUAGGUAGUCCUUCCAGGUCACUGUAUAUUGAGAAGAAACAUAAAACUAUUUUGUGUCACAUUCCGAGGUCAGCCUUCUUCUUAACGUUUUAUAGUAUACAAACGCCAGCUUCUGGAAAGCAAGUGUCAUCAUGUACCAAAUGCUUUAUACACCAUCACAUUCGUGAAUUUUUUAGCAUGGUCAGAACUUGUGUAAAUAUGUCUCUUAGAUGAUUUUGGGGAGAUGUGAUUUAUUUUUCAUAUUUUCAAAAUGCAUUCCAUUUCAAAUAAAGUAUCUAUUGAGACAACCGA